ACUCAAAGGAAUUGACGGGGGCCCGCACAAGCGGCGGAGCAUGUUGCUUAAUUCGAGGCAACGCGAAGAACCUUACCUGGGCUUGACAUGUGGGGAAAAGCACUAGAGAUAGUGUGUCCUUCGGGGCCCCAUACAGGUGGUGCAUGGCUGUCGUCAGCUCGUGUCGUGAGAUGUUGGGUUAAGUCCCGCAACGAGCGCAACCCUCGUCCUAUGUUGCCAGCGGAUCAUGCCGGGGACUCGUAGGAGACUGCCGGGGUCAACUCGGAGGAAGGUGGGGACGACGUCAAGUCAUCAUGCCCCUUACGUCCAGGGCUGCAAACAUGCUACAAUGGCCGGUACAAAGGGCUGCGAGACCGCGAGGUUGAGCGAAUCCCAAAAAGCCGGUCUCAGUUCGGAUUGAAGUCUGCAACUCGACUUCAUGAAGCCGGAGUCGCUAGUAAUCCCGGAUCAGCAACGCCGGGGUGAAUACGUUCCCGGGCCUUGUACACACCGCCCGU
rnacentral:rRNA from 1 species